rnacentral:misc_RNA from 1 species
GAUGAAGAACGUAGCGAAAUGCGAUAAGUAAUGUGAAUUGCAGAAUUCAGUGAAUCAUCGAAUCUUUGAACGCACAUUGCGCCCGCCAGUAUUCUGGCGGGCAUGCCUGUUCGAGCGUCAUUUCGACCAUCAAGCCCCCGGCUUGUGUUGGGGACCUGCGGCUGCCGCAGGCCCUGAAAACCAGUGGCGGGCUCGCUAGUCACUCCGAGCGUAGUAAUACAUCUCGCUCAGGGCGUGCUGCGGGUUCCGGCCGUUAAAAGCCUUAUUUUACCCAAGGUUGACCUCGGAUCAGGUAGGAAGACCCGCUGAACUUAAGCAUAUCAAUAAGCGGAGGA